GUGAAUCAUCAAAUUUUUGAACGCAAAUUGCACUCUCUGGUAUUCCGGAGAGUAUGCCUGUUUGAGGAUCAGUAUAAAUAAAAAUCGAGGUGUUGCGGAUGGUGACGCCAUCGGAGUGGGGUCAUCGUUAAUCUUGAUAGAGGUUUAAAGUGACCUAAAAUUGAUGAUACCGUGCGCAUGUCAAGACUUACAUAAGAAUUUUUUGUUAUCCGCCCGGAGUUUGCCAAAGCUUGAUUAGGUAGGACCAUGAUCGUUUGUGUCAUUUGUAC
rnacentral:misc_RNA from 1 species